UUUUCCGCAAGUUGCAGGAUAAUCUGGAAAUAUUUUGGACAGCCUAGUGUUGGAUAAUUUGACACCAUCAGAUAUCACAAUGAAGACAAUAACACUGAAGCGUUGCAAACUGUAGGUUUGUGAUAUAACCAUCAUUAGCAGGGUGGUGACAUUGGAAAUUGUUUAUUCCAGACUUAGGCCUUGUUUGAUAAUCUUGCUAUGGACAUAUGUAUUGGAAACUGGAUACAUAUGCUGUACAAGAAAAUGUAGAGGUCAAAACUGUUUGUGAAAAGAAUAGGGCACCAUGAAAACCGGGCGGCUUUUUUUUGCAUUAUAGGCCCGUUCGGCUUUCACGGAUUCAUGGCCCGGAACGAUGGCUAGUUCUUACUUCAUAGACAGAUUGAUUAUCUAAUUUAUAUAAGAUUUUUUAUUAGAUGUCAGAAUGAUUCCUGGAGUCCAGUCCUGAACAAACGAACAAGGUCGCUGAGCUGCCGGGGUGAGGCCACUGUUCAAGCCACUGGGGUGAAGACACUAUGAUCUUAUCGCUGGAGAUAUAGCAGGGUGCUACAUUUCACUAGCAUUACCGUUUGUAAUUUGAUUCACCCUCCUUUGUACAUAAGAAUUCGUGAUGUUAAAGGUCGGAACAAUAAAGUUCCAUUCGUUGUUUGGCCAAAGAAUUGCACAUAUAUCAGAUAAAAGAAAGCAGAG
rnacentral:lncRNA from 1 species